rnacentral:rRNA from 1 species
ACAUGCCUAUAGCAUAGCGUUAAUGCACCGGAUCCCAUUAGAACUUCGCAAAUAAGUGCACUCAGGCUAGAGUAAUAUUGGGAUGGGUGACUGCCUGGGAAGUCCUAGUGUUUUACAUGCC